UCUCUUUCUUCUUCUUCUUCCUCCUCAUGAGCAUCAAUGCAGCGUUGCAUGUUGUGUAUUGUUUCAUUCUUCUCCUUUCCAGGAGUUUGACUUCACGCACACGUGUGCGUCGAGCUCGCCUGAUGUUUUGUAGCAAUUAAUUUCAGUGUGUCUGCAUGUCAGCGCCCCAGGAGGGGGGCUGCAUAAAAGUUUUCCCCCAUUGCCACAGCUCUCGCCAGGGCUUAUAAUUGCCUUCUAUUACCAGGGCUGGAUGUCACAGCCUGUCUGUCACCAACAGGCUCUCAACUGGCGGCAGAUGAUGAGGAAAAGGAGUCAGAGUUUGCUCUUUUUGGCAGAGGAGAUAAUAAAGGUGAUGCAAAAGUGGAAGGAGAGGUUUCGGAAACUGUGACGCUGUGCUUUGUCAGCGUUGGGUGCAAAGCAGGAAUGAGGAACUAGAGAAAAUGAGUCAGAGCAGAUGUGUGAGAUGAGCUGCUGAGACAGCAGACCCUGACUCCAGAUCAGCUAAUGGUUUAAUAUGGAGAUGAAGCCUGCGGGGAGGAAUGGAAACAGAGUCCAACGGUUUUCAGAGGAAGGGCGGCGCUGAAAACACCACACACUAACACAAACACGCACGCGCACGCACAGACACACACACACACACACACACAGACACAGACACAGACACAGACAAAAAAAAAAGUCAGGAGGAGACAACCCGCUGUGAACAGGACAAAUAAACCAGUGGUUGUGUUGUAUGGGCUGUUGGGAACCGCACAAACACAUACAAACCUGUAUCACUACAUGGUAAAAAAGCUAGCAG